rnacentral:rRNA from 1 species
AACGUAGGAGGCGAGCGUUAUCCGGAUUUACUGGGUGUAAAGCGCGUGUAGGCGGUCCUGCAAGUGGCGCGUGAAAGCGCCCGGCUCAACCGGGCGAGGACGUGACCGAACUGCGGGGCUAGAGGCAGGUAGAGGCGUGUGGAAUUCCGGGUGUAGUGGUGAAAUGCGUAGAGAUCCGGAGGAACACCAGUGGCGAAGGCGACACGCUGGGCCUGACCUGACGCUGAGAGGCGAAAGCCAGGGGAGCAAACGGGAUUAGAUACCCGGGUAGUCCCUGA